rnacentral:rRNA from 1 species
GAUAAACGCUGGCGGCGUGCUUAACACAUGCAAGUCGAACGAAGUUUUUCUUUCGGGAGGAACUUAGUGGCGGACGGGUGAGUAACGCGUGGGUAACCUGCCCUGUACAGGGGGACAACAGCUGGAAACGGCUGCUAAUACCGCAUAAGCCCUUAGCACUGCAUGGUGCAUAGGGAAAAGGAGCAAUCCGGUACAGGAUGGACCCGCGUCUGAUUAGCCAGUUGGCAGGGUAACGGCCUACCAAAGCGAUGAUCAAUAGCCGAUCUGAGAGGAUGUACGGCCACAUUGGGACUGAGACACGGCCCAGACUCCUACGGGAGGCAGCAGUGGGGAAUAUUGCACAAUGGAGGAAACUCUGAUGCAGCGACGCCGCGUGAGUGAAGAAGUAUUUCGGUAUGUAAAGCUCUAUCAGCAGGGAAGAAAAUGACGGUACCUGACUAAGAAGCACCGGCUAAAUACGUG